GCCACCUUAGCUCAGUUGGUAGAGCGGCUGUUUUGUAAACAGCGGGUCGUCGGUUCAAGCCCGGCAGGUGGCU
rnacentral:tRNA from 2 species